ACUUUACAAACCCACAAAAUCUUUGUCACUCAACUUUGAAAUGGCAGCAACAACAUCUUCAAACCUCCUUCAUUUCUCUAGUUCCCACUCCAUUUCACGUCUUACACCCCUCAAAACCACCCUGUUUUCAUGUUCCAAGAGACGGUUAUCGGCCACGGCAGUCAAUGGUGCCUCCACCACAGGAGGAUUAGUACGAUGCAUGGCGGUAGCAUCAGAAGCGGAAUCCGUUAAGAAGACAAGUUCUUAUCAGAUAAUGACAUUAACAAACUGGCUGCUGAAACAAGAGCAAUCUGGGGUCAUUGAUGCUGAACUGACUAUUGUCAUGUCUAGCAUUUCAAUGGCAUGUAAGCAGAUUGCAUCAUUGGUGCAACGGGCCAGUAUCUCGAACCUCACCGGGGUCCAGGGAGCUGUAAAUAUUCAGGGUGAGGACCAGAAGAAGCUUGAUGUUAUCUCCAAUGAGGUGUUUUCGAAUUGUUUGAGAUCGAGCGGAAGAACAGGAAUCAUUGCAUCGGAGGAGGAGGAUGUGCCAGUGGCAGUAGAAGAGAGUUACUCUGGCAACUACAUUGUGGUGUUUGAUCCUCUUGAUGGAUCAUCCAACAUUGAUGCUGCUGUUUCAACUGGUUCUAUUUUCGGUAUCUACAGCCCCAACGAUGAGUGUCUUGCUGAUAUCGACUUUGAAUCUACGCUCAGCAGCGAAGAACAAAGGUGUAUUAUUAACGUAUGCCAACCUGGGAACAACCUCCUAGCAGCUGGUUAUUGUAUGUACUCAAGCUCCGUGAUCUUUGUAUUGUCAAUAGGAACAGGGGUUUAUUCAUUCACAUUAGACCCAAUGUACGGUGAGUUUGUACUAACUCAAGAAAAGAUCCAAAUUCCCAAAUCCGGAAAGAUUUACUCAUUCAAUGAAGGAAACUAUGCGCUAUGGGAUGAUAAACUCAAGAAAUACAUGGAUAGCCUAAAGGACCCAGGUCCUUCUGGCAAGCCUUAUUCGGCUAGGUAUAUUGGUAGUUUGGUUGGUGAUUUCCAUAGAACCCUUUUGUAUGGAGGGAUUUACGGGUACCCUAGAGAUGCAAAGAGCAAGAAUGGAAAGCUUAGGCUCUUGUAUGAGUGUGCACCAAUGAGUUACUUGGUUGAACAAGCCGGUGGAAAGGGGUCUGAUGGGCAUCAACGAGUACUUGACAUCCAGCCAACCGAGAUUCAUCAACGAGUUCCUCUGUAUAUUGGAAGCGUAGAGGAAGUGGAAAAAUUGGAGAAAUAUUUGGCUUAAAUAACGAUGUUUUGUUCAUAUAUGUGAAUUUUGUUAGUAAAACAAACUUGAAAAGGUACUGAGGUCGAAUCAAGUUACAAACGUUUGAAGUCGAGUAUGUUGGCAGCCACAUGAAUAACCUAUUCAGAUAGCUAGCUAAAGUUGUAAAGGAGUGAUCAGUUCUUGAUGUAUCAGACUAUUUACAGAAUUUGAUAUAGAUUGGUCAGUGUACUCUGAGUCAAAAACAACUUAUAUAUCAAGAAUACCCGGUUAUAUCA